rnacentral:rRNA from 1 species
GACAGAGGGUGCAAACGUUGUUCGGAAUUACUGGGCGUAAAGCGCGUGUAGGCGGCUAAGUAAGUCGGGCGUGAAAUCCCACGGCUCAACCGUGGAAGUGCACUCGAAACUGCAUAGCUAGAGUCCUGGAGAGGAAGGUGGAAUGCUUGGUGUAGAGGUGAAAUUCGUAGAUAUCAAGCGGAACACCGGUGGCGAAGGCGGCCUUCUGGGCCAACACUGACGCUCAUGCACGAAAGCGUGGGGAGCAAACAGG